rnacentral:lncRNA from 1 species
GUAAGGACUGAGAUUUUUGACAGUGUAACUAAACUCUCGGUUGAUGAUGUUUAUGUGUGUAAUCUAAUUACAUAAGCACUCGUCAAGUUUCAGGAGAAACUGAGCCAAAAUGGAGAAGAUACGCGAUUUUUAGUUUUCACUUAAGUGAAUAGUAACUCCGGUUUUCCGGAGAAGCCACGAAGUAGAGUUGGCUUCUGGUGCGUAUCGGACUCCGUUCAUAUCAGUCCGAUAGCUCGUUUCGACCGGUUCAGCUAUUCUGGAACUACUGGCGCUGACGGAUUUUGAGUUUGAUGCACGAAUUUCGAGAAAAUCCGAAAAUACAUGCUUUAUAUGUAUUUAUGUGUUAUUCCUUCUAUUGGAAAGAAAGUUUGGAUUUUGUCGUGAAUCCGUGGUCGAUCGUGGUGAAACAAAAUCGUAGCUUUGUUGUCUCCGAGGUGCUGAUCGCACUGGUACAAUCCGUUCGUAAAUCUGACGGACGGAUCUACGGAGAUCGCACGUUGAUCGAGGAGAGGUCGGUGUUGGAAAAUAGGUAAUUUCGCAAAAGAUGCGACAUUUUAUGUACCGU